GAAAUGUGAUAAGUAGUGUGAAUUGCAGAAUUCAGUGAAUCAUCGAAUCUUUGAACGCACAUUGCGCCCUUUGGUAUUCCUUAGGGCAUGCCUGUUCGAGCGUCAUCUAAACCUUCAAGCCCUGCUUGGUGUUGGGUGCCUGUCCCGCCUCCGCGCGCGGACUCACCUCAAAUCCAUUGGCGGCCCCCGCGUCGGCCACGAGCGCAGCAGAAACGCGAACUCGUGAGCCCGUCCGGGCGGCUCCCAGAAGCUACACCCACCCAGUCUGACCUCGGAUCAGGUAGGGAUACCCGCUGAACUUAAGC
rnacentral:misc_RNA from 1 species